GACGAACGCUGGCGGCGUGCUUAACACAUGCAAGUCGAACGGAAAGGCCCUGCUUUUGUGGGGUGCUCGAGUGGCGAACGGGUGAGUAACACGUGAGUAACCUGCCCUUGACUUUGGGAUAACUUCAGGAAACUGGGGCUAAUACCGGAUAGGAGCUCCUGCUGCAUGGUGGGGGUUGGAAAGUUUCGGCGGUUGGGGAUGGACUGGCGGGUUAUCAGCUUGUUUGUUGGGUAGUGGCUUACCAAGGCUUUGACGGGUAGCCGGCCUGAGAGGGUGACCGGCCAAAUUGGGACUGAGAUACGGCCCAGACUCCUACGGGAGGCAGCAGUGGGGAAUAUUGCACAAUGGGCGGAAGCCUGAUGCAGCAACGCCGCGUGCGGGAUGACGGCCUUCGGGUUGUAAACCGCUUUCGCCUGUGACGAAGCGUGAGUGACGGUAAUGGGUAAAGAAGCACCGGCUAACUACGUG
rnacentral:rRNA from 1 species